GGAGGGAUCAUUACCGAGUUUACAACUCCCAAACCCAAUGUGAACGUUACCAAACUGUUGCCUCGGCGGGAUCUCUGCCCCGGGUGCGUCGCAGCCCCGGACCAAGGCGCCCGCCGGAGGACCAACCAAAACUCUUAUUGUAUACCCCCUCGCGGGUUUUUUACUAUCUGAGCCAUCUCGGCGCCCCUCGUGGGCGUUUCGAAAAUGAAUCAAAACUUUCAACAACGGAUCUCUUGGUUCUGGCAUCGAUGAAGAACGCAGCGAAAUGCGAUAAGUAAUGUGAAUUGCAGAAUUCAGUGAAUCAUCGAAUCUUUGAACGCACAUUGCGCCCGCCAGUAUUCUGGCGGGCAUGCCUGUCCGAGCGUCAUUUCAACCCUCGAACCCCUCCGGGGGGUCGGCGUUGGGGAUCGGCCCUUUACGGGGCCGGCCCCGAAAUACAGUGGCGGUCUCGCCGCAGCCUCUCCUGCGCAGUAGUUUGCACACUCGCAUCGGGAGCGCGGCGCGUCCACAGCCGUUAAACACCCCAAACUUCUGAAAUGUUGACCUCGGAUCAGGUAGGAAUACCCGCUGAACUUAAGCAUAUCAAUAAGCGGAGGAA
rnacentral:rRNA from 1 species